rnacentral:rRNA from 1 species
GACGGAGGAUGCAAGUGUUAUCCGGAAUCACUGGGCGUAAAGCGUCUGUAGGUGGUUCGAAAAAGUCCACUGUUAAAAAAUUGAGGCUUAACUUCAAAAGAUGCCGUGGAAACUUUUCAAAACUAGAGUAUGGUAGGGGGUAGAGGGGAAAUUUUCCAGUGGAGCGGUGAAAAUGCGUAGAUAUUGGAAAAGACCACCGAUGGCGAAGGCACUCUACUGGGGCCACUACUGACACUUGAGAGACGAAAAGCUAGGGGGGGAGCAAAAAUGGGG